CUGUAAACGAUGUCGAUUUGAAGGUUGUUCCUUGAGGAGUGGCUUUCGGAGCUAACGCGUUAAAUCGACCGCUGGGGAGUACGGCCGCAAGGUUAAAACUCAAAUGAAUUGACGGGGGCCCGCACAAGCGGUGGAGCAUGUGGUUUAAUUCGAUGCAACGCGAAGAACCUUACCUACUCUUGACAUCCAGAGAAUUUAGCAGAGAUGCUUUAGUGCCUUCGGGAACUCUGAGACAGGUGCUGCAUGGCUGUCGUCAGCUCGUGUUGUGAAAUGUUGGGUUAGGUCCCGCAACGAGCGCAACCCUUAUCCUUUGUUGCCAGCGAUUCGGUCGGGAACUCAAAGGAGACUGCCGGUGAUAAACCGGAGGAAGGUGGGGAUGACGUCAAGUCAUCAUGGCCCUUACGAGUAGGGCUACACACGUGCUACAAUGGCGUAUACAAAGAGAAGCGACCUCGCGAGAGCAAGCGGAACUCAUAAAGUGCGUCGUAGUCCGGAUUGGAGUCUGCAACUCGACUCCAUGAAGUCGGAAUCGCUGGUAAUCGUAGAUCAGAAUGCUACGGUGAAUACGUUCCCGGGCCUUGUACACACCGCCCGUCACACCAUGGGAGUGGGUUGCAAAAGAAGUAGGUAGCUUAACCUUCGGGAGGGCGCUUACCACUUUGUGAUUCAUGACUGGGGUGAAGUCGUAACAAGGUAACCAAGGGCGAAUUCUG
rnacentral:rRNA from 1 species